rnacentral:lncRNA from 1 species
CAAAUCUAUAUCGAAUUGGCCCAAUAACAAACCAUUUUAUUUUAUUUUAUUUAAAAAUAUUUAGCUAUCUCAAAAUUCAAGUAGCUUAAGAAAAUUAGUUUCUAUUGGUAUUAGUAUUGUCAUAUGUGCAAGGCACUUGGUUUUUUUUUUUUUUUUUUUUUUUUUUUUUUUUUUUUUUUUUUUUUUUUUUUUUUUUUUUUUUGUCUUCUUUGGUUCCACUUCUUGACCUCUGUUCGACUAAAGUCUUUAAAAUCCAACGAUCAAUUUACCAAAGCAUUUUUACUUGCCUUAUCUACACUUUUCCUUAUUUCAAAUAUUUUGCUCUCCCAAUAACAGUUCCAUCCUCUUCUUAUUUCCUUAUCAAAUUAUCAAAUUCAAAUUGACCCAUUUCAAAAUUUCCUCUUAAACCCAAAACCCAUCUCUUAAAAUCUCUUUUUCUGUUCUUGUUCUUCAUGAAGCCUCAAUUUUCAUGGUAGGAACCAUUUUUUAAAUAAAAAGAGAGAAGCCCAUUUUGGAAAGGACUUGAUUUGAUUGGGAAGUUUUUAAUCUAUUUUCAUCAAUUAUUAGGAGGUUGUAUUGUUCUUGUAAUUGUUGUGUAAAACUUGAUUGCUUGCAUAAUGCAAUUCUAACUAUCUAUCUUUUACUUGAUCUUUUGUUUCAGGUGGAGAUUGAAUGGUAGAAAGUUUAAUUUUUCGGCCGAGUAUCUAAGAAUACUAAAUCCAAUUGCUGAUGGCAACAUUACGUUAGCAGAGAUGAAAAUGUAGAAAUUCAAUGUUUUUAUGUAUUCUCAAAAUUGUUAAUUAUUUUUUGUUCACUUUUCUCUCCUUAGAAAAUUAGUUUAAAGAGCACUUAGAAAUUAGCAAUAUCAUAUAUCAUGCCAGUUUUGCCCUUUGAUGCUUUAUGCUAUAAUUUUCUUUCUAGGCGUAAUCGUAUUGACUGUAAUACCACCAAUUUAACUUCUAUAUCUAGGGAUAGACAUGUUCAUAAAUAGGGUGAUGGAAUUUUAAUUUUCUAUUGAACUAUACCAAGUUUGCUACGAACAUAGUUUUAAAUAGCAUGAAUAUCAUAUUUAAUUUGUUUUUUAGUACAAAAGCACUUAAUUUUUUACCCAAAAAAUUAAGAAACAUGGAUGCCAAAUCACUAUCAUUUGUUUAAUAAAUGAAUACAAUAAGAAGAAACUUACUCAAAGUAAUGAAAGAGAGAAGAAGCAGGACUUGAUAAGAGUAAUGAAAGUAAAACAAAUGUCUAGAGACUAGUCAGAUACACUGAAAACUUUUUUUUUUGUUGUAUGCUGAAUUAAUUGCCAAAAUUAAUUUCUUUUUACAAAUUUAAUUAGUGAUGAUUAUCUUAUCUUUCUUUACCUGAUCUUGUAUAUUAAACGAGUUAACCUCAUACUUUGUGACAACAGAACAACGACAAUGAUAAUUAUAACGAGCCUUCUGAUAAUAAUUAUGCAGUGACCAAAAUCCAAAGCACUACAAUGUCUUCAACUAAGCAGUAGGUCACUCAAAGAACUAUGACUACUUCUACUUCUUAUAUGUACAAGAAUGAAAUAACAGAACUAAUGGUUCUUCUUUUAAUUCUGCUCAAUCAAAGGUACACAUAAAAAAUUAAAUUUUAUAUUUUAAUUUGUUAAUGGACUUGAAUUGUAGUUUCAGUUCUCAGUUAUUAUCUAGUUAUAUUUACCAGGAUCCAAGAGAAGUAGCGAAAAGGAAAAAGUAAAAGAAAAGCAAUAUUAAUGAUGUCUUGAUAAAGAAUGAAGAAAUGAAAAAUAAUCC